rnacentral:rRNA from 1 species
CGCGGCCUAUCAGCUUGUUGGUGAGGUAACGGCUCACCAAGGCGUUGACGGGUAGCUGGUCUGAGAGGACGAUCAGCCACACUGGGACUGAGACACGGCCCAGACUCCUACGGGAGGCAGCAGUAGGGAAUCUUGCGCAAUGGGCGAAAGCCUGACGCAGCAACGCCGCGUGGGGGAUGAAUGCCUUCGGGUUGUAAACCCCUUUCAGCAGGGACGAAAAUGACGGUACCUGCAGAAGAAGCUCCGGCCAACUACGUGCCAGCAGCCGCGGUAAUACGUAGGGAGCGAGCGUUGUCCGGAAUUAUUGGGCGUAAAGAGCUCGUAGGCGGUUCAGUAAGUCGGGUGUGAAAACUCAAGGCUCAACCUUGAGACGCCACUCGAUACUGCUGUGACUUGAGUCCGGUAGAGGAGUGUGGAAUUCCUGGUGUAGCGGUGAAAUGCGCAGAUAUCAGGAGGAACACCAGCGGCGAAGGCGGCACUCUGGGCCGGUACUGACGCUGAGGAGCGAAAGCAUGGGGAGCAAACAGGAUUAGAUACCCUGGUAGUCCAUGCCGUAAACGUUGGGCACUAGGUAUGGGAUCAUAUCAACGGAUUCCGUGCCGUAGCUAACGCAUUAAGUGCCCCGCCUGGGGAGUACGG